rnacentral:rRNA from 1 species
CUUUCCUACGGGACGCAGCAGUGAGGAAUAUUGGUCAAUGGCCGAGAGGCUGAGCCAGCCAAGUCGCGUGAGGGAUGACGGCCCUACGGGUUGUAAACCUCUUUUGUCGGGGAGCAAGACCCGCCACGAGUGGCGGAGCGAGAGUACCCGAAGAAAAAGCAUCGGCUAACUCCGUGCCGGCAGCCGCGGGAAUACGGAGGAUGCGAGCGUUAUCCGGAUUUAUUGGGUUUAAAGGGUGUGCAGGCGGACCAUCAAGUCAGCGGUAAAAUCGUGGGGCCCAACCCCAUCCCGCCGUUGAAACUGGG